rnacentral:rRNA from 1 species
AUUGAACGCUGGCGGCAGGCUUAACACAUGCAAGUCGAGCUAGCGGCGGAAGGGAGUGUAAUGUAUGGGGACUGCCCGAUAGAGGAGGAAAACUACUGGAAGCGGUUGUUAAUACCGCAUAUUAUCGGAUAACCCAUAUGGGAUGAGUUAGUAGUCGAGGUACUGACUCACGUAGGCGACGCUCCCUAGCUGGUCUGAGAGGAUGAUCAGCCGAACUGGGACUGAGACACGGCCCAGACGCACACGGAGGCAGCAGUGGGGAUUAUUGCAGAAUGGGCGCAAGCCUGAUGAAGCCAUGCCGCGUGUAUGAAGAAGGCCCUAGGGUUGUAAAGUACUGUCAGUCGGGAGGCGUUACCAACAGAAGAAGCACCGGCUAACUCCGUGCCAGCAGCCGCGGUAAUUC